AUGGCGGGCGAGGGAAGCCCCGACCUAAUGGGCGGCUUCUUCUUCCUCGUCAUCGACUCCGUCUGUGGUGUUCUCCUUCCUCCGUUUCUCGCGGCGGUUAAGAUUUUGGCUUGCGGUUCCUGGCCGAUGUGUUGGAACCGGUUCCUAGACCGCGUACGUUGGGUGGGCACACAUGUGAUACUCACCUACGAUGGCGGUGGCGUAUGCACACAAUACUCCUUCAAGGACGACAGUACAAAAGAAGAAAGAGUGCAUGACGGAGGACCGGACGACGUUGAAGACGAUAUCCCAUUGACACAAGGACCUAGAAGGGCUUCAAUGUAA
rnacentral:rRNA from 1 species